rnacentral:rRNA from 1 species
UGCUAGUCGAACGGUAGCACAAAGAAGCUUGCUUCUUUGCUGACGAGUGGCGGACGGGUGAGUUGUGUCUGGGAAUCUGCCCGAUGGAGGGGGAUAACUACUGGAAACGGUAUCUAAUACCGCAUAACGUCUUCAGACCAAAGAGGGGGACCUUCGGGCCUCUUGCCCUCAGAUGUGCCCAUAUGGGAUUAUCUAGUAGGUGGGGUAACGGCUCACCUAGGCGACGAUCCCUAUCUGGUCUGAGAGGAUGACCACCCACUCUGGAACUGAGACACGGUCCAGACUCCUACGGGAGGCAGCAGUGGGGAAUAUUGCACAAUGGGCGCAAGCCUGAUGCACCCAUGCCGCGUGUAUGAAGAAGGCCUUCGGGUUGUAAAGUACUUUCAGCGGGGAGGAAGGGAGUGAGGUUAAUACUCUCAUUCAUUGACGUUACCCGCAGAAGAAGCACCGGCUAACUCCGUGCCAGCAGCCGCGGUAAUACGGAGGGUGCAAGCGUUAAUCGGAAUUACUGGGCGUAAAGCGCACGCAGGCGGUCUGUCAAGUCAGAUGUGAAAUCCCCGGGCUCAACCUGGGAACUGCAUUCGAAACUGGCAGGCUAGAGUCUCGUAGAGGGGGGUAGAAUUCCAGGUGUAGCGGUGAUAUGCGUAGAGAUCUGGAGGAAUACCGGUGGCGAAGGCGGCCCCCUGGACGAAGACUGACGCUCAUGUGCGAAAGCGUGGAGAGCAAACAAGAUUAUAUACCCUG